UAUUCAUUUCCAUAAGUAGCAAUGUCAUGACCAUAUUAUUUACAAUGAGUGCACAUUUCAUCAUCAACCUCGUCAUCAUCAGUUGUUGUUGCACAAUCUUGUAUACUAUUUUGAGUUGCGUGUGGAGUUUGAGAUCUCUUUUGCAAAAAAAAAAACAUUUGUGCCCCACCGCCCCUUCCGCCACCGGCAACCACUACCAAACCGACCCACUCAACUGGGGCGCCGCCGCUGAUGCCAUGAAAGGGAGCCACCUUGACGAGGUGAAACGGAUGGUGGCAGAGUACCGGAAGCCUUCGGUCAAACUGGUCGGGGAGUCGCUCACCAUCGCUCAGGUCGCCGCGAUCGCCGCCGGAAAUGCCCCUGAUGUCACGGUGGAGCUCUCCGAGUCUGCCAGGGACCGCGUCAAAGCCAGCAGCGACUGGGUCAUGGAGAGCAUGAACAAAGGUACCGAAUUUAGAUAAAGUGUAAGGAUUGAUAUUUUAUAAAGAUUAAUUAAAAUAACUUAAUAUAAAUUUACAAAAGACAACGGAUACGAUCGGAAUUGAAUCACAAAAUGUAAUUUACAAAAUAUGGUACUUUGAAAGUAUAUUGAUUAUGUUAGAAUGAUCAUAAGAGAAUUUUUCAAGCGCAAAUCUUAAAAUAACAAGAUAAAAGAUAUCAUGUCUUCAUGAUUAUAUAAAUUAAAUGGAGUGAUCUUUGAGGAAUUUUGUUUUUUAUUUAUUUUAAUUUCUAAAAUAAAAUGGUUAUUCACCGUCUAGAUCUUAUCCUAAAAAUGAAGGGUUGAGAUGAAUCCAUGCAGGCGGGAGUAUGUAAUACUCCGGGAGUACGAUAGUCGUUUCCCGUACAGCAAUGACAUAUUGACAUGUUUAUAAUAUUUAUAAAACAUAUGGUUAGUUUUGCUUUGUUUAUAUUCAGAGAGUCAGCCAUUUGACUUUUGAUUAUUUUAUGUGCUGACUUAACGUUGUGCCGUCAGGACGUGUUAUCUACUUCGACAAGCAACCUCUCAAAUUGAAUAACACACAGUUUGGUGGAGAAAGACUGACAGCUUAGUUUCAAUUUAAGUCGAUGGUAGUAUAUGUUAACAUGCUGAUUGAUAGGAGGUCGAUAUUGAGCCCGGAGAGGAACAACGAUGAACUUCUCGAAAAGCGUUGUGUACGAGAAUGCAAGAGGAGGAGAGGUUGGCUUCACUUGAGUUAAAAGUGUGAUCAAACCUAAGUUUCGUUUGGCACUUGAAAAGUUAGAUGAGAUUUUAAACAUUUUUUUUGUUAGACGAAAAAAUUAAAUUCCGACGAAAUAAUUUUAGAAAGCCGAUCUUUUCCUCUACUAUUUAAAUUCAAUGAAACUUUUUCACCGUCAAACCAGACUAUAUCGUAGAUAGUGAGCUUAUACUACAACCUAAAGUACACCGAUUUAAGGAACAAUCCGGUCUGAUUGUAAGAAUACUUUCCUCUGUUUCGAGAUAAUUAUGUAGUAUAUAUAUGUUGCAAAAACAAAUCAAUUACACGAAAGGGAAAGAUCCUUCCUUUGAACAAGAACAACUCAGAAUCAAAACUGGUUCGUGGAAAGAAUGGAUUGUAAAGCAAAAACUAUGUAUAAGAAUUAAGAAACCCAAAAAGGAAAGUUCCAUUCUUUCCGAGAACCAAUUCCAUUCUUAAUUUCCAAAUUAAAAAAAAAACAGAGCAUCAUGAUUCCUCUGCUAGUUUCAAUUGUGAAGUGGGUUUGGUCCGCCGGGGACACAUCUAUCCUCAAUCCCAUGCAUUGGCUUCUCAAAAUGAUGAUUGUUCCUGCUACUCUCGCCGGGACCGGACUUCAUCUUCAUAGCCGCCGACAGCCUUGCCGGAAUCGGAAAUGGAAACUUCGUCUUGGAGCCGAGAGGUCGACAAGUGGAGUGAUGGAACAGAGCUAGAAAGACGGUUAGAAGGAGAAGCAGAGUGUAAAGUGAAGGUCUCAUCAUUACAGAGGAAAUGAAAAUGACUCUUUCAGGAGAUGGGUUUUGAAAUUUGAAGAGAACAAAUGAAGGCUUAUUUAUAUUUUGGACAAGGAUCUGAUUUAUUUGUUUAUUGUGUUCCACUUUUUGUUUGGUUGUGUUGUUUGGUUUUGUUUUGUUUAAUGUGGUUGUCUAUCUUACUUAGUUUGGGCGGCCAAAUAUUUGUCAUGAUACCAAAGGGAAGAAAUAUAACUGCUUCAGUCCAAAGAGAUUGUUGCCAAUUUAACAGCUUGAGUCUCUAUCCAUCUAUGGAAAUGCCAAAGCCAAACAAAUUCAAGCCGUCCACCAACUAAUGAUAGGAUCUAACACACCGGGUCGGAGGAGAUUCGAACCUGCCAAGUCGAGCUGCUGGGUAUUGUGCACCUCUGAUUGGCUACUCCACCCGAAAUUUGCGCAUAGAGCUCAGGAAGCGAGACUAAAACUGACUGAAAGAUCAUAUGGCACAAGGCUUCAAAAAAUUUCAUUGCACAUGUAGCAUAGGGAGUCGUCACGAUUUAUCACGAUAUGAUGGAGUAUGAUACAAUAAUACGAUAACAUCCUUCAUAUGAUUGGAUCUCAUGCUGGUAUCGACCUCUGGGAUUCGUUGGACAGCCCAAACUGCAGCAACGAGCAAAUUAUCGAAGAGAGGAGGUUCUUAUUACAAGAAAGAGUUGACAGAAAGGUGUCUAAACCAGAAAAGAGAAGUUCUGAAAAAACAAAAACUUAUGUAAACAUCCCCAGCGUUCCAUCUGAUAUAUAGAUAGAUACAUCUCUUACAUGACUCUUUUCACUCCUCUUUUGAUUCACCACCAGAUGAAGGAGCCACCGGAUGCUCAACACCUGUCGGGGAUGGACCGUCUUCAGCUGCUGCCUUGUUGUCAUCAGCUUCAGUACUUGCAGGCUUCACAUCGCCAUUCUCGGUAGCAUCAGCAGUGACUUCGGCAGCGGGCUGCUCGCUGGACGAACCAUCAUCGACGACUGGUACUUCCUUCUUGAUGGUACCGACCUUGACAUACUUACUCAUGAACUUGUAUUCCCAGUCCUGCAGAGCUUCCAUCUCGAACGAACCAAGUCCUGAGAUGUCUCCCGUCAGAUCCUUCUCUUCGAACGACAUCUUCGCCAGUGCUCUGCUGGCAUCCUUCCCGGCAAAUAACGCGUAUGGCCCACCGGGACCGUAAAACAUCCUGCAGCCAUAACAACCAUAUGGCGUGAAAUCACCUCCAACGAGUUUGGUUCAUUAUUCGGCCAAACCAAGUAAUCACAAACAUGCAAAUCAGUUGAAAUAGAGAUUAAUAAAUGGAAAUUAAAAGUUGUUCUUCCUCAUCUGCACUCAUGACAGAACUAACAGACCCUACACUCAGACACUAACAAAGAUCAAGAUGUAUAAUUGCCUCAAUCUACACAGAAUGGCUGCUAUCAAACACCUACAAGAUGAAACUUAGACACUAAUGAUGUCAACAACAAAAAGACUAAUGAUCUUGUCUCCAAAGUCGAGCCUUCUUAGCAACAAUGGAUAGCGUGGUCAAUCCAAGUUAACUUCUUUGGACUAUUUAUAGCUGCCUCAAGUUCUAAACAGCAAGAAGGCCACUUCACCAUCUGGGCUGCGUGGAGUAUAUCACAAGGAAUGUUACUACAUAAACCAAUUAAGAACCUUUCCCAGCAACACGAAUUAUUAGGACGAGAUGGUUCUUAUCAUAGCCAUUGACCUUGGAGGUGCUUGGUCGACCUUUGCAAACUAUAGACACUACUAAUGGCACCAACAAAGAAUCAAUGAUCUUGUCUCCAAAGUACAGACUUCUUAGCAACAAUCCAAGUUAACUUCUUUAGACUACAAGUCUACAACUCACAGGCUAUUUAUAGGUUCCUAAAGUUCCAAAUAGCAAGAAGGCCACCUGCUCUCCAUCUUGCUCAUUGGAGUAUGUCACAAGGAAUGUUUACAUAAACCAAUUAAGAAUCUUUCCCCACAACUCGAAUGGAAACUCGAAUUAUUAGGAGGUGAUGGUUCUUACUUCUUAUCAUAGCCAUUUACCUUAGAGAUCGACCUUUGAAAACUUCAAAAUCCAGCCCCAAAAAGCUCUCCACCAAUAACUCGAAUAUUGGGAGGAGAAGGUUCUUAACCGAAAAGGCAGAAACUUUUUCAACUCAGCCCCAAAACCCAACCGAAAACCUCGAGCAGAACUCGAAGUCUCGAACAACAAUCAACGAAUUUCAAGUGCAAAAUCCCUAGAAAAAAGAGGGAAAAAAUUUAAUUAUUUAUACCUGCUCUGCGAGACAUCGUAGAUCUGACCCUUGAUAGCCAUAAGCAGAGGCUUCUUAGGAUCGGUCCCAUCGUACUGCUUCAGCUCAUCCUCACCGAUCUCCCCAAGCUGCACAGGCGGCGGCAGCGGCUGCACGUCUUCCUCGAAGCUCCUGGGCCUAGGCGGAGGAUUAGUUGACCCAAACAUCCCAGAAAGCAGGUAGUAAACGGCCAACCCAAAAGCCAGCACCGUGAAGAAAGUCGCCGGCGUUAGCCCCGUGUACGCCGUUAUAGCUUGCUGCAGCGUCUCCCAUAGCUGAAGCGCCAUGUUUUCAGCUCAAAGGGUGAGACUUGAGAGAUCUUUUAAAACAGAGAGAAGGGAACUACUGAUGACAGUCCACUAAUCUCAGCGGCUGUGUAAAAAAGAAUUGAACUUUCUUGUGUGAAUUCUGAUGCAAAGUUCAUUGCUUUAAUGGCGGUCCUUUUCGCGUUCUGGUCUGGGUGAAGGUGAAAUGACUGGUUUACCCAUUGAAUUAUUGGGAUUUGUUGCAGACGUAUAUGUAUGGGGCUUUUUAUUUGUUUUCGAUGAAUAUAUGGGUUUUGUAGCCUGGUAUUUUGGAGGUUUGUGAGAGAGGGGUACAAGUGUAAAUUGAGUUCUAUGAUGACAUAUACGGUAUGGCCUCCUAAUUGGUCGGAUGAGUCUUCUCAAGAAAAAAUUUAGCGAUCAAAAUUUCGUGUGGAGUUUAGUUUAAUUGGACUGUCGAAACGAUACAAAAGAAUCGUGCAAAAUGUUAUUGUGGUAGUAAAAUUGUAUAAGGUAAAAUCGUAAAAUUAUUUGAAGAAUGUGUAUUUUGUGUUGCGUACUUAUGAUUUUCUAAAUUUUGUAUCGUAAACUAUGUAGUUUUAUUUAUUUAAUUUAAACUAUGGGUGGUACUUAAAAUUUUAAGAUUUUACGAUUCGAUCAUACGAUUCAAUUUUACCUAUGUUUUCGAUUUUACUCAGAAUCCACGAUUUCACUACCUUGGUUAAAUGGGUUGUUCAAAGGGCACUCGAGGGGUGGAAGUUUCGGAAUGAGAUCCGAGAUUUACCGUAUUUAUGAUAAUACAUUGUAAUUAUGAGUUAAUCAAAGCCAUAUAGUAUGAAGUGCUAAGUAUGUGUCGGUAUUCUCUACCAUGGAGGUGGAAUAAUUAUAUUUAAGAUGAAAAAAAUGUAUUCACUCACGAAAUAACUUUUUAAACAGACAAAGAGUUAACAACGCUCAUGUUUAGUUAAGACACCUCCAUCAAUCCAGUCAAUACUAAUGGAUGAAGAUCCAAAUGAACACCUGAGCAACGCUAAUAUCGAUAUCACAAUGUGUAGAUAAGAAGUCAGAUCGGAUAUAUAAAAUGAGGGUGAUUCACUACAGAAUAAUUACAUUAAUGUUCUGUCAUGAUGUCAAAGCUGAUGAGACCAAAAGAAUCUGUUAUUGUUGAAAGCAUCAAGUCCACUUGAGCCAAUGCUACAAGGUUUCAAACUUUCAAUGUUCCUUCAGCCCUUUUCAACUGUUUAAAGCUUAGGGUUCUUGACUUUCAAAGCAACACCUUUUUCCAUACAUGUAUAAUCAGAUAGGCCAUCAUUCUGUUAAUAAAACUGUACCUAAGAUGACAAUUGAAGCCAUUUGGGCAGUGACCUUAUUGCUUUCAGAAUUUCCAUUAAUUUUAAGGUAAAAGAUAAGAAGGGUAUCUGAAAUACCUCUACCUCUGUAUGUCUACUGUUCAUCUCAACCAAUUUGAUCAAAGAUGAAUCUGAUGGCAAACAUAUGAACAGUAGAAAGAGUAGCAAGUAAAACCAUAUAUAAAAGAUGCAAAACGUGACCACAGUACUAGCUAGCAUUCAUAUCUGAGUUACAUGCUGACUUUCGUCGAGAUUUCGAGGCCGAAAUCUUUCAUAUACUGAUACACCUGUGAGAAAAAUAGUGUAGUUCCAGACUGAAGAAAAACUGGAAAAGUUACCUAAUACACAGUACACAAACAUGGUGAACAAAAUACUCAGAUACUGUUCUUUCACCACAACUAACAAAGGUAAACUGAGAAGGAAAAGCUCUCUCUAUACUAUAUCCAGUCCAGACAAUCUGUUUAUUGUUUUUCUAGCACAAGGGGCUAAAAAAAAUCAGAACAACCAAACAACAAAAUGGUACAAGUUCUACAAACUCAUCACUAGGUAUAUACUAAAAAAAAUAUUACAAACACUUCAACGUUGCUCUCUACUUACAGAGCAAGAGAGUUCACCUCAUCCUCUUUCCACAGUCCUUCCUCGUACCUAUACCACCGCAUGAGCCCUUCGUCGGCCUUAGUCCUCUGGCACAUAAUGCACGACUCCUCAUCCAUGCACGUUAAGAACUGACUCAGUCGCUUCGCCUUCUGCAAAAUCGUGGCGUCUAACUCCUUCAUGACUCGUCUAGGCGCGGGAGGUAGUGGGAUUUCGAUCAGAAGGCAGUGCGAUAUGUUGAGGACUUCAAGAUUAUGCAGGCCGUCCAGUAGGAUGAUCAGGGCGUCCCUUGGUAGCAUCGCGCACCGGAGGCUCAACACUUUCAAUCUCGUGAGACGCGUUACCAGUGUUGAAGCGAAGAAAAUGUCGAAAGGUCCCAUGACCUUGAGCUCAUGGAAGUUUCCGCAGUUAUUGGCGAUUUCGUCCAUGAGAUAUGGAGGAUUCGCUAUGCUCGGCAUUGUUAGGGAUUCAAGUUCUUUCCAUGAGCGAAUCGCUGCGCAUAUGCCGGUCUUUUUUAUUCGGUUCCAUGCUGGCAGGACCAGCCUUUUGAGAUGUGGACUCCUAAAACAGUCAAAACAGACAUAUGAGAAAUAGAGAAAACUCCCUUUGCAUUCUUAGUCGCAAGGAUGCACCCAGAACGAAAAGCAACACUCUCAGAACUGACAAUGCAACUAGAAGGCUAAGUGACCGAUCUACCAUCAAGGUUCCAUAAGCUAUCCAUACCAUUUCACAUAUGUUGGCUAUCGGAUGUUCACCAAAUACCACCAAACUUUAGUUUGCAGUCACACUAACCAUCGAAAUUCACCAAAUACCAUCAAAUUCUAGUUUGAUUCCAUAGUUACCAUUCCAUUAUUUAUUGGAGCAGAAUGCUGACAUGGCCCGACACAGUCAGCAUAUAGCGGAUGGGUCAACUGCCAACUCAUCAUUUCAAAAUCCCAACUUGGCAAGCUACUUCGAUUCUUUUGGUAUCCCUAUGCUUGAACCGUAGAGGGGUGAUAAUUUAUUGAAUAUAUUUUGAUAGCCUUGUUCAAAUUAGAAAAGUCUAGAAAUAUUAAAACGGUGAGUUUUUAUAAAAUGAUGAGUUGCCAGCUGACCUGUCCUCUAAAUGCGAAUUGUGUUGGGCUAUGUAAAUUCAUGACACACAACUUGCAAAUACCUAAAACAGAUCCCAUAAAUAGACAAUCAUCAAGUUCUUGUUCCUAACUUAAGCCACAUAACUUCAUAUGCUCAGCAUUGACUCAACAAGAUCAUUCAUUCAUUUCAGGAACCGAUAAUAACGAAAAAAACUGCCAAUAGAACGUAUAAAUGCACGAAACAAACUUAUCAGGGCAUACUACGUACGUACCUUUCAGCUGUGUAAGUCAGCUGUUCAUCGCUCACAUACAAGUUGAAAUGGAAUAUCAAUGAAGUGAUGCUUCCUUGACUGAGAUUCAGCGAUAUCCUCAGCAAUCGUGUCAAGGUCUUAUCUGAUCGACCAUUGACAUACACGUAAGGCUCUAGAGGGAUCUUAAUGAAAUUGGAUUUCAUAAUCGACAAGUCGAGUGUUUUCCACAGCAGAGGAUCGGAGCAGGCCAUACGCCACGAACUACAAACGUGAGCUAACCCUGAAGUCAAUUCGAAGAUGUCGAAUGACUGGAAUAUCUUCACCAAGAUAUCUGUGUCCAGAUCCUCCCAUCUCCUCACUGAUGAUCCACCCUCAUCCAUUCUUCCAAGCCACACACAAAAUUCCUCCCUCUGACUUUCAAUUGGAAUCAAUAGUUACGCAUCAUCAAAUGUUCGACUCCCUCUAGUUUUCUGCAAGGAAAUGAAAUGAUAAGGGGAAAACUGAACCUAAAGCUUCAAAUCAUGGAUUGAUUCUGAAGAAUUGAAAUUGAUUCCGACAAGAACAAGACCCUCGAGCUAUUAUUUCUCACAACCAAGAAGAUCCCCAAACAUUCAACACAGCAAUUAACAAUAACAAAAGGUUGAAACUUUAUCAAUGCAAAACAUAUCAAAACCAGCUCAAUUGACGGAACCCACAUGGGGAGUAACUCCUCAUCCUUCAAAUUCAACUUCUAGAUAUAAAAAAAACAACAAUAACAACCCAUGAAGGGAAAGAUUACCAUCAAAAUUUCCAGAUCUGAAUUUGAAUCAAGAAAGGGGAAAGCUCAAACCUUUAUUCAGAGCGGACUACGAUGGAGGAUCACGUGAGAGGGAUGAAUUCAACGACAGAAAUUGGGAUGAAAUCGAGAAAAAGAAAUCAGCUUGGAUCGAGAAAGGUGAAGAAAGGAGGAAGAGAAGUGGGGGAAAGGAGGGGUGUUUCAUGCAAGUUGCAGUAACGGCUGAGGAAUUGGUUUCAUUGGUGGGAGGAAAAUGGGAUAUGGUUAUGACAUGAGAGUGAGUGUUGGGAGGUAAUAUCUGGGGAAUUUUAAGAGAUCAUUGGAUUUUGUUUUUAAUGAUAAUAAUAAAUGAAAAAUUGUGGAAAUUGAUGCCGGCAGGAGAGAAGUUUUAACAGAAACUGCAACUGUUGGGGUUGUAGAUCUCUCUGCUGUCUGGUUCAGUAGGGGAAAUACGUGCGAGUGUCCUGUCAAAUGACAACGACUAAGGAUAGAUGGCCGAAUCGGACCAUGCACAACAUAACCAAACCAAUGGGUUGGUUUGGAUUAUUUGAGUUGCUGAAAUGUUGAUGCUUGAGUAGCCGAGUAGGCACAAUAUAUGGUUGAAUUCAUUAUCCAUUUUAUGACAUGAUAGAUACAUGUCACAACCAGCUCUUAGCGAUAAGACAGGUGGAGUGGAGUAAAUUUCUACACCGUUGAUUCGAAUCCCAUAGCUACACCAUGGUGGUGGUAGUGGUGGUGGUGGAAAGAACUUGAUGAUGAUGAUUAUGAUGAAGAUAUAUGUGAUGGUUUUAUUUGAACGAGUUAGGAUGUAAGAUUUCGGAUUUAAUGUUGUAGAUAAUUAGUCAUAGUAAUGGUAAAUUCUUUAUGGUAUAUCGAAAUUUUCGAUAUGUCCGUUUUUUUGUUAACGUAAAUCCAUCACCAUCGUUCAUUUUCAGUUUGCGAUCUCGACGGUUCACAAUUAUUUAAAUAUUAAAUUUUUAUUUCACAUUUUAUUUUUGAUCACAUGUGUUUUCUAAAUUUGACAAAAGAUCUUACUUUCUCAAUUUAACAAAGGAGUUUUAGCAAGCUAAGGCAGCAGCUCAGAGAGCAAGAGAAGGAGACGAAGGAAACACAACUCCGAAAAAAUACAGCAAGAUAACAAAAUCACAGUGCUUCAAAACAAGACUUGGGACAUUCUGUAACUGAAAAAUCAAACAAAACACUAUGUAUGGCACUCUAAAGUGACAGCAAAAAACAGCAGCAACAUUUCCAAUUAAACCUCUUGAAAUUUUUUAUUUGAAAUCACAUGAAAUUUGGGAUCAAUUACAAUCCAAUUUCAGAUCGCAAACUGAAAUCAAAAAUAAAAAGCAAAAUAGAAAUUUAAUAUUUAAAUAAUUGUAUUACGUAUUAUAACUACUCGACAAUCGAUAAAUCACCAAUUUUAACAUUUACUGAAACACAUUUAAUUUCAGAAUUUUGAUGGGAUCGAGUGGAUUAUAUUUAGCACUAAUACACCGUUGACUGUGAAUAAAAAAUGAAAUCACUAACGCCGUUACGAUGGAUGUUACGUGGAUAGCCAAGUAAACAACUAGGGCUGCCAUAUGAGCUUUAAUGAAGAACUUGGGUUAUAUCACUAAUAUUGCGAAAUUAGGGUUCUUCAAUUUGGGGGUGAUUGUUAGUAAAAAAAUCACUCUCUUCGAUUAGAGGAUAUAUUAGGCUGGAUCAGGUAUAGGAUUUGGGUUGUGUGGGGUGGUUUAUGUGAGUUGGGUUUAGUGGUUCUCAUAAAAAAAUUUCAAAAUGAUUUUUCGUUUAAGCUGACAUGGCUCCCAAAUUUUGACCGCCAAUCAUGUCACUUAUCUGUCUGUCACGAAUGAGCGAAUCAUGAAAACCGUCAACUCUAUGUUAACGAAAUAAAAAAGAUUCAAAUUCGUAUCAUAAAUUAUAUUUUCAAUAAGUGAUAUCAUUUUUUGUGCGAAGCCGAUAAAUUAGACUUCCCGAAUGUAUUAGUCCUAAUAUUUAUCACGGAUCUCGCAUCAGGUCAAAAAAAUCAAUACCUUAAAAAGAGUUGGCCAGAUCAAACUAUUGGCCCAUAACUUAAAAAUAGAGCUGGCCCAUCGAAAUAUUUCCGCCCAUAAACAUCUUGGACUUCAGCCCAUUAACUUCCGUCAGUGCAGCAGAACUUUCUUUUUGAAUGGUUGCAGCAGAAGAACUUUCGAAUUAUCACUUCAAAAAAAAAGUUCGAAACUUUCUUCCCUCCCUCUGGGUCUGCACUGCAGCAAACAUUUCUUCUUCUUCUUCUGAUCAAAUGGGAGUGAAGAACUUAUGGGACAUCUUAGAAUCAUGCAAGAAAACAUUACCACUCCAUCAUCUCCAGUAACCUUCUUCUCCCCUCUAUUACCCUUCAUUUCCCCCCUCCAUUUCUCUCCCGCUUCAGAGCGAUUGAAAUCCAGGGUUUUACUGUUUUGCAGGAACAAAAGGGUGUGCAUAGAUCUCUCCUGUUGGAUGGUUCAGCUCGAAAAUGUCAACAAAUCACACUGUGCUCUCAAGGAGAAGCUCUACCUCAAGGGUCUUUUUCAUCGCCUUAGAGCUCUCAUCGCUUUGAAUUGCAGCCUUAUCGUGGUUACUGGUAUUGUUCGUUACUUACCCCCCCCCNNNNNNNNNNNNNNNNNNNNNNNNNNNNNNNNNNNNNNNNNNNNCCCCCCCCUUUCUCCCCAAAUCGCUUUUGAAAUUGUGUAGAGUCGUUGGCGGCUAUGCCAUUUAAGGCUAUGUUCAUUAUGGAUUUCAUUUGAGUUCUAAAAUCUAUCUAAUUUGAAAUUUGAAGAAAUUGAAAUAGAAGAGGAAUAAGGAAUUGAUAUUAUGUGCAGUUGUCAAACUUACCAAGAUACUAAAACAUCAAUUUUCAAGAUAUUAACUGGAACAGCUUUGGGUUUCUGUGGCUCUCUUUAUGACUGGAUUCUUGAUGCCUUUACUUUUUUGCCAGAUGGUUCAAUCCCAGCAAUCAAAUUGGCUACUUAUAGACGAAGGUUAAACUCUGCACCAGAGGUAGUUUGGUUGAAAAACUGCAUUGAGCCUUUUGUCUGUAUGUUAUCUAUUUUAUUCUGGAUGAUUCUUUCUAUCAGUUAAGUCUGUUUAGUUCAAUUGUUCUUUUGAAAUUGCUGCGGGCUACUCAGGACGAAACGAGUUCACAGAACGCAUGCUCGCUUAAACGAAAUGCGGGUUCGGAGUUCUCUCGCAUGGUAAAUGAAGCUAAGUUGCUCGGUUCAGCACUUGGGAUUCCUUGCUUAGACAGGUAUUGCUGUAGCUUUUGAAGAUGAAGAUAAACCACAAUUCGGUUGUGGUUCUUACUGUUUUUUCUGUCGAUAUUGGUCUUAUGUUUCUGCUUGCUUUUUCUUAUUCAGCAUGGAGGAAGCUGAAGCACAAUGUGCAGCGCUAAAUGCAGAAUCUCAGUGUGUAAGCAGGAAACUUUUUUAACAUAGGCUUCAUUAAAAUUGUUAUUUACUCGAGACUUUUGUUAACUUAUUGCUUGCAUUAUCAGGAUGGAUGCUUCAGUUCAGAUUCAGACAUUUUCCUUUUUGGUGCGAGAACUGUAUACCGAGACAUAUCCCUUGGUGAACCCUCUGAGCAUAUAACUAUUUGUGAAACAAUAUGAUUAUAUUAUCUAUCUCAUUGCUAAUCUUGGCUUCUUCUGAUUAGGGGAUGGUGGUCACGUUGUCUGCUAUGAAAUGGCUGACAUCGAAAGGAAACUUGGGUUUGGGAGAAACUCAUUGGUAAGACUUCCCAUUAUAGCAUUGUUCAAUGUCCUGAGUUUAUAACGUAUUUUCGUCUCCAGAUUACGUUGGCCCUUCUUCUCGGAAGCGACUACUCUAAUGGAGUUUACGGCCUAGGUCCAGUACGUUGAAAAACUCUUCAUUAUUGAAGCUUCAUCCUUCUUCUAACACAUUGGAGCAGUAAUGUAACUUAGCGAUUUCGCAGGAGUCAGCUUGCCGGAUUGUUAAAACCAUCGGAGACAAUACUAUCCUUCAGAGAAUUGCAUCAGAAGGACUUUCCUUGGCAAAGAGGAAGAGUAAGAAGAAGAAUGGUGCUUCAUCUUUGAAUGAGAACCAGCUGGAACCUGAAAUCCCUGCCGAUACAGAACGACAGAAACAGUUUCUGCAAGUAAUCGACGCGUAUCUAAAGCCCAAAUGCCACUCCGCCGAUUCGGAAUCAGUCUACAAGUGAGUUCAAUAGUUCAUGCAUGUUAUGGGUCGUUUGGAUGAGUUAUUUUGGCCCAAAAUACCUCGUUUGACAUCCCAAAAAGAAUCUGUGGUAUUUCGGAACUGAUAUUUCAAAUAACUCACUUUGAGUUAGUUCAAAUGCCCCCAGGACAUUUAAAAUACCACGGUAUUUCGACCUCUUUGGCCUUUUGGUUUACCAAAUACUUCAUUGAAUUAACUCAUUAGUCAAACAAUUUAUUCCCAAACGACAACCCUUGCACCUCAUAAAUACUACAUUCUCAUAUAACUCAUCAUUUUGCUCCAAAAUACCACGCAUGAAAAAUGUGCAAAAUAACUCAUCCAAUUGGCCCCUAGUUAUCUCUUCUUCAUUGAGAGUUUCAGCAAAAGAAAUGUUUCCUGCCUAUGUUUAGGGCUCUAGGUCUGUACCCAUUUCAACAUAACAAGUUACAACAGAUCUGUGCAGACUUCUUUGGUUGGCCUCCUGAAAAAACAGGUAGAUUGAUAAAAACUCUUGUUUUCGAGUUUCGACGAAAGGAAAUCCAUUUUUUGAUUUAAUGGCAGGUUUUUUUUCAAUGGCUUAGAUGAAUACAUCCUUCCGAAAGUAGCCGAGCGAGACCUUAGACGAUUCGCAAACUUGCGUUCGACUUCAUCCAAACUGGGAGUUGCACCUUCUUUGGACAUGGUAUCUUUCAUCCUUUUUCUAUUAUUGUUCACGGAUUAUUAUGAUAAAGCUUACCACCUGGGUUUUCUCUGCAGAUGCCAAUCAAUUGCCCUGUAGUGGAAAUCAUUAAACCGCGAAAAGUGCAAGGGAGGGAAUGCUUCGAGGUUUCGUGGGAAGGUUUCGAUGGACUUAAGACGUCUAUAGUUCCUGCUGAUCUUGUACAGAAGUAAGCUAAUGGUGAGGAAUGAGAAAUUGAGAGCUGCUCAUGUUAAUCUUCAGAUUUUCUUUUUUUAUCAACACUUCUAUUAAUCUGCAGAGCUUGCCCAGAAAGGAUUACAGAGUUUGAAGAGAAAAAAGCACAGGCAAAGAAACAAAACCAGCGCAAACCGAGAGCAAAGAAAUCACAGAAGGGACAUGAUCUUGCUGAGCUAGACAUGAAACUUCAGAGCCUAAUGCUCGAAAUUGAAUCAGGAUCGGGAGGGAGCAGCAGUGUUCCAUCGAACGGUGAGAUCGAGAGCUCUGACAAGAUGCCCAGUUCAUCUAUCAUCGAUUUGACAGAAGAUCAGUAUGAAGCCACAGGUAUUGAGAGGAAUGCCAUGUCAUCAGAGUUCGUCGAUCUUUUGACCCCUGCUCCACUACCUGGUAAGAGUCUCACAGUUUCGACUUUACGAAAUGAGAUUGACGAUGGAGCCAUUGUUAUUCCGGUGAUAGACUUGAGUGACUCGGAGAUAGACGAGUCCCCACAGCCUCUGGAGAAACGUUUGUACAGUUACAUCAAGAAGCUGUAAUAUUGUGAUAUGAUGAGAUGAAAUGUCGAAUACUGUAGCUUUAUCUUAACCCGAAUCAAAUGUCUGCAAAUUGUACAUCUACUACCUAUAGAUAAUUAUCACCAUUCAUACGAAAGCUUUCUGUACAUCUUGAUGGCUAGCCUUGGAGGAGAUCGGCAUCAUUCGCCAGAUCACAAAAUGCCCAAAGAGGCUUCCUUCCAAUUGCAAAAAACCAGUACCAGGAAACCAUAAACCAUCAUUUAGAAUCUCAGGUUUGACCUACUUCGUCAAUAACUCCCUUACUGAGCAUCUCGCAUCCAGUAGAAGCUUGUAAAUUUUCGGAGGGUUGCCACCCUCUAACGCAAACUUAAGGCUCAACAUAAUUUUCCUGAACUUGCAGGCGAUUGUCUCUGUAAAUUUUAUAUCUGCGGAUUCUAAAAGUUGAUAAGCUUCUGAUUGAUCGACCAUCUGCAAUUGUUUUUUCUCAUCUUGUAGUUUGCCACUUACUGCCAUUUCCAGCGUGGCAGCCAUCUCAGCAGCUCGUUUUACACACGACAAUGGUAGCUGCACGAAAUAUCAUAGAUUUCAAAGUCUAACCAGGUUAACAAAUUUCACAUGAAGCAAUCAAAGUUAAAAAAAAGAAACAGAAAGCCCUCACCUGAGCAAACUCAGCAACCUUGAACCCGAAACUCCUCUCGCAAACACCAGGGACCAGCUUAUACAGAUAAGUAACACCAUCAGAUGUCAAGUCGUUAGCAUCCGUUGCUUUUGUCGAAGUCAGGUAAGACACGUGGUAUGCUCCCACAGAGCCUGGAAAUGUCAUUUCGAUCUCUGAGAUUUUCGGGUAGUGGGUCACGAAAAGGACCAUGCACCUUUUCUGCUCCAGAAGAUGGUGUAAAGUGGCAAAAGCGAUAGCUUCCCCAUCAUGUGUGUUUGUGCCCCUACUGAGCUCAUCGAUGAUGACUAAGGAUUGAGAUGUACAUUUCUGGAGUAUAUUUGAAGUCUCAUUAAGCUCUUCUAGGAAAGUACUUCGUCCUUGUUGAAUGCUAUCGGAAGCUCCCAUCCGAGUAUAGAUACCAUCCAGCACAUGCAGCUUACAAGAUGAUGCUGGUACAAAUGAGCCAACCUAGAUGGUUCAGACAAACUAUUAUUAACCAAAAUCAAAGCAAGGAGGGUUCAGCAUAGACAAAAACAAGAAUGAAACGAGGUGAUGUCCUUUGACGAUGUAAGCCUAAUAGUAGACAAACAGGAAAACAAGCAUUUUGACUAUUUAUUACAUGUCCCUGGUGGUCCAGAAUCAUUCAAGUUACUAGAUUAGAAAAGAAAAUGAAAACGAAAACUCACUUGGGCCAUGAUAGCAAUGAGAGCAACUUGGCGUAUGUAACAACUCUUGCCACCCAUGUUUGGUCCAGUAACAAUCUGACAGUAUUCUCCACGAGCAUUUAGCUUUGUAUCAUUGGGGACGAAAGUAUCAUGCAAUAUAGUUUCCAAAACCUGUUACAAGUUCAUAAAUAAUCAACUCACCAGAAAAUUACAGAAACAUAUGUCCAUUAUGAAAAAUAUGAGGGAAUUUAAUUAGAGAAGAUAUAUACCGGGUGACGACCACAGCAGAUAUCUAUCUGGACUGGUUCACUGUCGUCCACGAAGGUUGGGCGAACGUAACUCUGACAAGAUGGUCAUCACUAGAUGUCAUGAAACUAGAACGAAAUAGGAUUAGUUAGUACUAUAUAGUCUAGCUCGAAAUUGUACCUUAGUUUUCGAAAGAGUGGCAAGAGAAAGUAAGCAAUCCAAAGCAGCAAGUGCUUGACCAGCAGCUUGGAACUCUAUAUAUUUACUGAAACCGCUUAGGAAGCUGUCCCAAGCAGUUCGGCAAUUGAUCAUCAGCUCCUCCUAAGCUACUGACAACUGGUCUAAUGCAGUCAAUACUUCGGAAGGGUGAUAUCGAAUUGUUUUCUUGGUACCGUUCACCUUAACCCAGUUCAAGGACACCUUGACAUCUAUGGGCAACUGCAUACCAAAAUCACAUGAAUAUAAUGAAAUGUGCCCCAAGAUAACCUUCCAAUCAAACAAUGAAACCAUUUUAAACAAGAAAUGCCCAAAUGGAUGUCAUUAUUUUGCAGAAGAUGCUCUGUUCUUUACCUCUAUCAAAUGAGCGAUUCCAGAUAAGCUGAUAAAUUCCAACUUCCGAGCACAAAGCUGCUUCCGAUACAAAGGCAACAAAGAAUCCAAUUUCUCCUCCGCCAAUUGAACUGCUUUUCGAGCAUUUGCAACCUACGUGUAGAUAAAGGACACGUUUAAUACUAGGCAAGUGAUCAUUCAACAAGUAGAAAAGUUACAGAUUUAGAAGAUAAUAACAUUAUAAAAGCACAAUCUCCGAGAAUUGUCCAUCGGACACUAUAACCAAGUUCAGAAGAUCCCCUCGCUCAGCUGCUUCUUUAUUUACAGAAGACAAUAGUUUUGCAGCAGUGUGGAUGAUGAUACUGUCGAAAUUAAUGUUUUCAGUAGAACUGAGUGUACAGAGCUUGUCUGAUCACUAUUACUGUUGUGCUCUUGAACACAGAGUCGCUUAAGUUGUUUACCAGCAUAUAGUAUGGCUUCAAUAACUGCAACAAACUGUCAUCGAAUCACUUCAGUAAGUGAACAAGCGAACCAUACGGGUAUUGAAAGAAAGCAAUCAAAAUUUCCCUAAUGAAGGAAACAAGUCCAAGAGUUUCCCAGUAAAUACCUCUUUUGGGGUAGCAGUUCGAUGGAAAAUUCUUGUUAUCCCACGCUGGAUAUCAGGUAAUCUUCCCAAAUUUGUUAAUACCGUAGAAAGAAGAUAAUAUAAGUCAUUUUGUAUGGAGAUUAUUUAAGAAUCUCCCUUGUCAAGCUCACCAAUUGCCCGUGAAGGUUUACCAGGCGCUCAAGGAAUCCACAAUUUCAGAAACCGCAUCAAGACGAGCGUGUAUCAAGUUUCUAUCACAUAGAGGAUGAGUCACCUGUCCCAUGAAAAUAUGAAAUGAACCAUGUAUCACAUAAAUGCAAUGGGCAGAAAAAGGUGCAAAAAAGAAAUCAAUAAUUAAGAAAUUCCCAUACCCAUCGUCUCAGUAGCCUUGAACCAUAUAUGGUAAGAGUGUUACUCAGGAUGUGCAAUAAGGAUCCAGACUCAGAUCCAUCAGAAUUAUUCCUUAAAAUCUGAACCAAAAGCAAUUAUAUGGAUCAAAAUCAGGUCUAGCGUCAAAGAUAUCACAUUACAGACGUCCAUGUUAUAAAAGAACAUGCAAACUGCUUUCAGAGACCCUCCUCAGAAACUAUUGCAAGGUCCAUUCAUAUAUAUGCAUUGUGGUUAUAAAAUUCAAGGGGUAUAGAGCACAUAUUGAACUGAGAACGGAAAGGGCUGUUAGACCAUUAUGCUUCAUUCUGACGUUUGGAAUUCUCACACCUCUAGCUGUUGGAGUGUAUUAGCGGAAAGGUUCAUCUCGAUACUGCUCGAUAGAGGCCGGAACGAAUCAUCAUUGCAUAAAAUUCUUUUAAACCCAAACUGCUUUAGAUGACGAAUAGUCAAAGCCAAUGCUUGUACAGCCAAAUCAGGCAUGUUCAUGAUUCCCUGCAGAAAAAAGGAAUGCCAACCAGUAGAUAACAACUUCCACGUAUAAGGACUAGUAGGCCAUAUAAAAAAAGCCAACCGAACUCAAAACGCGACAAAACUCCAUACCUUAAUUGCCCGGUUGUGACUCAGCACCACUCCCACCCCUACAACUUGCUUCUCAUCAUCCACCGACUUAUGAUCAUCGCCCAAAUUCUCAUACAACGACGUCACCUCAGCAAGUGCAUCACCAUCUCUAAAGCAAUGGCAUGAAAUUCUCUCAACUCGGACGCUCGAUGCAGGUCCAGCAUAAGCCAGUAGCGACUGUAGAAAUGCAGAUCAUCUAUUAAGCCAGAACCACUAAACCAGUCUGUUCCAAGACUCAGACUUUCAUGUGUUAUUCAUACAAUGCCACAAACUAUGAUAAAUGAACAAACUUUACCUUCUCGGUCGGUUUUGAAAGUGGAUCCCCAAGAAGCAACUCAGCAGGAGCCAACCCAAAACCAAAGCCUCCAACCCACUCCUCAUAAUCCCAUCACUACACUCCCCAUACACAACAUCCCCAGUCGAAAUCUCAACACCCACAAUCCCAAUCUUCACAUCAAUCCCAGAAUCCUCACUCUUUUCCACAACACAACACAAAUAAUUACUCUCCCCACCACAACCUUCCUCCUUUCCUCCCAUACCUUCCGCUGCCUCCAGCGUAGCUUUGGGGUGCAGCGCCGAUAACCCUCUACAAAACGGCCCCGUUCUAUUCUCCCCAUGAGCCUUAAUCGCCGCAGUCUCGGUCUGCUUCACAACCCCAACUUUAUACCCAGCACUCACCAGCCUCCUCACGUAGACAUUUAAUCGAACAGUUGGUAUGCUCGCGGUUAAAAAAUUAUGAUCGACGUGCGCGAAAAUCCCCAAUACUUUAGAAGCAAUCCCGGCGUCUUCACCGAAGAAUCUGUACUUGUAACCGACUUCAACCAUCAGGAUCACGUCGGGAUGCUUGGUUUUCAGCUCCACAACCUGCUGCUCCAGCGGAGUGUACUUCUUCGUGGAGGGUGGGGUUUCGGAUUCGAUCGGAGUGGGUUCGAGGAGCUUGUCGAGGAACCGUUGGUGGGUGUGAGGGGAUAAUGGAGGGGUGGGGUUGUGGAUGUGAGGGGGGAGUUUGGGUCUCUUGGAGGAGGUGAGUUGGGCGGCGAGGAGCUUGCGUUUGGCGGGAGAGAAUGAGACGGUGGUGGUGAUUUUGGGGGAGGAAGUGGUGGUGGUCGGAGGAGGCGUCUAGGGAGGAGGAUGAUCGUCGGGCUUGGGUUUGGGAGCGAAGAAGCGGGAGACUACUUGCUGUUUAUGCCCAUUGUUGGGAUUGCGGAGAAGUGGAAGAGUUUGGAGGAACUAUGGCGCUACUGUACUGGGUUCGGCCUCUGGACUGGAAGAAGUUAGAUAAUCGCCGCAGUUCCCUUUGUUUUGGCGCGCCUUUCUUUCUCUCUUUUUUUUAUGCCUCUCUCUAAUUUUUUUAAAAUUAAAAAAAAUCAACUAAUUUAAAAGAAUCAAACAUGCUACGAAAUACGCUGACUUUCGAAUCAAUAAACAAUAUAAAGAUGAAGCAAAGGAGCACAACAAACAUAAUCUCGUCAUUAUAUAAUAAUAUUACGAGAUUAUAAAAUCUUCUUACAUUACAUUUAGACACUCAACGAUUAAUACUCAUCCCAUAAUAAUUAAUUUUCAUAGUUGUAUUUGGAUUUGCAUCUCCUCGUUGCUGAUAUAUGCACAAGAUUUGUUGUACUUGAUUGUGUAAUUGACAUGGUAACAGUGGGUAACAAUUGUUUACCGUUCUUUCCAUGAAUAGUGUUGUUACAUGGAUUUUGUUGUUUUAAUGUAACUUUUUUAUUAGUCCGUUACAUGGGUUAAUAAGUGGUUUCACAUAAAUAUUAAUCUUUUUAUAAUAGGAUUGUUACAUUUAUUACACAUGUUGCAACAACAAAUGUUAAGAUUUGAGACAACGUUUUCAACUAAUAUGAUAUAUAAAAACCCGACCAUUACAUGGGAUUAUAAUUAGUAGUUAAAUGAUUUUUUUACAAACAAUCAUCAACUUUUAUAUUUUCAAAAAAUAAUAGCACAGUAGCAUACAAGAUACUUUAUCGGAAGUGUAGAUCUUGCGGACAAGACUAUAUGAAUCGCGGUUUCUUACGAAUAAGUGACUUCAACCCUUUCUCUCCAACCUAGCGGGCAAUCAAAACCAUCAUGACGAAAAAAUUAAGAAACUAACUACCAGAAAAACUGACAAAGAAAUCAAUCCGACUCAUAAAAACUAAACCUAGCGAACAUGAAUGAAAAUCAUUUUGAUUAGGCUACCACCGAGGGAGGUUGGGACCUCAGCUGCUGGGACUCGGACAUUAGUGUGGCAGACCAGUUGCUCGAGGCUGACUGACUGUUGAUGUUGAGGGUGAACUCCGUCCCACUUUCUCGGAUUUCGUUGCCUACAAUUGGCCGCUGGAUCCGUUGAAUGAGUUGGUCGUGUGACUCCGACCGAGCAGGCUGUCUGUAGAGCAGUGAAGAGUUGGAUGAUGGCGUCGGAGGCGGGAUUGCCUGAAGUAGUGAUGUUUGCGAAGGGUGUGGCAGGAAGGGCAACGGUUGUGUGGUUGCGAGCGCGAGUUGAGAUUUUGUUUUGCUUGAGAGCAACAGAGGGGGGAGACGAUGACGUGGUUGUGAUUUGCGUGGGAGCAGAGGAGGGAGGAGGUAACGAUGUGGUUGUGGUUUGCUUGGGAGCAGCAGAGGUAAGGGGCAAUGGCAAAAUCAUGGUGCGGCUAUUUCGAAAAUUAAGUUUAGGGUAACUCUCCUUUAAGAAGCAUUUUAGAUAUCUUAGACAUCUGUGAAUUUGAAAAUUGAUAAUGCUUUAAUUAAUUUGAUUUUUUUUUACCUCUAAAUGACCUUUUUAAGUAGUUAAAUGACAUGUACGUUAAGCACAUAAUAUAUCAUCAAACAUUUUUUGAAAUAUAAUUCUUUAGUUCAUAAUGAAUUGUACGCAAAUAUUAUUAGGGUGAGUUUGGAUCAGGUCACCCAUCAAACUCACCUGUCAUAACUCAAUUGGUUCAGAAGUUGGUAAAUGUUGUGUGUAAGUUUGGGUUUGGGUUACCACUCAUCCUUUGAAGGGAACUACUCAUAAAAACUCCUAAUUAGCACCCAUGAAGAAAGACUCACAAUUAUAUUCAACUCAUCGAUUUUUCAAUUAAACCACUUAUUAAUCCACCGAUUUAUCAAUCCAGAACCAAUGGAAAUCAACCCACCUAAUUCCACUUGCCCUCAUCUAAAGUCUUAAAAUGUGACAGAAACCAAAUCAAAUUUAUAAUUCUUCACAAACCAUUAGAGUAGUAAUACAAAAUCAACAUACAUAACCCAAGAAAUGAAAACGUAACGGUCCAAGUCAUUCAUUCAGAUCUGUCUCGUGGGGAAACAGAGCCAUAUACGUAUCUACGUAUACUCCUCGGGGGUAGCUAGAGCCACGAGCAAGCAAGAAAACAAAAAGGCCAUAGAAAUACACGUAGGCCUCGCUUUGGCAUUUUGAAAACUGGGUGUCGAGUCUACGUUGCACACCAUUCGUUUGGUUAUUGAUGUAUACGCACAAGUGUUUGUGUUUUUUGAGGUACAAAAGCAGCCACCAUGCACUUUAAUUUGCUAACCGAUCUAUACCCCACCCACCCUUUAAUUAACCGAUCUGAUCAGCGUCGUCAUUAUACAUAUUUUAAAUACCACCCUCCUUCAAAUACUCAUUAAAAAAAACUAUAGUGGAAGCUGAUUUACAAGAUUAGACCUUUUUCCUGAACAGUGUAUUUUAUAUGACUGUCACUGCAAAGUGGCAGUUGCGUAAUUGUUGCUGGUACAAGACGAAUAAAAUAUUAGCGAAUUAGUCCAGCAGUACUCCAGCCUAUAUAUCCACAUCAGUCUAUAGGCAAAGCUUAGGAGAAGCCUUCCAUUGGUCCAGAAGCCUAUAAACACAAAGAAAAAACAAAAAUAAUACCGUAAACCCCUCCAAAAUUCCAAAAGAAAAACAGCAUUUCUGAAUGGGCGGCAAAUGAAUAACCCCAACCCAGAACCAGAACAAGAGCGAGCCAGAUGCGAGUGGGACUUCACCCUUCGAACCACCGUCUCCUCCGCCGCCUCCUCAUUCUCCGACGCCCUAGGGGUCAUCGAAUGCGACCCCUCCGCCAGCCUCAUCGCCACUGGGGGNNNNNNNNNNNNNNNNNNNNNNNNNNNNNNNNNNNNNNNNNNNNNNNNNNNNNNNNNNNNNNNNNNNNNNNNNNNNNNNNNNNNNNNNNNNNNNNNNNNNNNNNNNNNNNNNNNNNNNNNNNNNNACAGCAGCGAACCUCCGCAGCCUCCGCUGGCGACCCCAUACCGGCGGCGGAGUAAUCGGCUGCGGCGACUACGACGGCGUCGUGACGGAGUACGACCUCGAGCGGGGCGGGGUCCCGACCUUCGAGCGGGACGAGCACGGCGGCCGACGCGUAUGGAGCGUCGACUAUGGUUGUUUCGGCCUGUAGGCGCCAGCUGCGGUGUGGUCGGCGGCGGCGCCACGGCGGUUCUCUGCGCCUCGGGUUCCGACGACGGGACUACCCACGUGUGGGACCCGCGAUGCGAGGGAGGGGAAUGCGUGGCUGUAAUACGGCCAAGCGGGUCCGGAUCCGCUGUAUGCUGCGUGGAGUUCAAUCGUUCUCGUGGGACGACGCUAGCCGUGGGAUGCGCUGACCGGAAGGUGUACGUGUACGACUGCCGCAUGCUGGUCCACCCUCUCCUUACCAUGGGCGGGCACACCAAAACGGUAACGUACGUCAAGUUCCUCGACGAAACGACUCUGGUCUCCGCGUCUAUAGACGGGAGCUUGAAGCUGUGGGAUCUGGGUAACCACUCGGUCGAACCGGUUCGGACCUACCGCGGACAUUCCAACGGUAGAAACUUCGUAGGGUUAUCGGUUUGGAAUGGGGGCGGGUUGCUGGGUUGCGGUUCGGAGAGUAACCAGGCGUUCGUGUAUGAUCGGAGGUGGGGCGAACCGAUUUGGAUGCAUGGUUUCAAACCGGUUGAACCAAGCACCGACGGGUUCGUGAGCAGUGUGUGCUGGAAGCAAAGUGUGGACGACAAUCUCGACAGCAGACAAUGUACGUUCGUGGCCGGCGGAUCGGAUGGAACGUUGCGAGUUUUCGAAGGGAUGAAGAAGAAGAUGACGGCGCCGGCUACUUCUUCCGUUGCGCCGACGAACACAUGAGAUAAGAUCUUCUAUAUUUCACCAUUCUUUUUUCUCGUUACAUGAACUAUCAGAGAUUACCCGUUUGUAACGGAUUUAUUUGUUAUACAAAUACAUUGAUUGCCUGACAUAUAAUAUCCAUGGCUUUUAAUUUGCAAUGGUGAUUAUUAUUAUUCGUAAUGAUUAGUGAUGUGGUAAAUUUAGAUUUUCGAAAUUGGUGAUCUAGAUCUAAUAAAGUAAUAUAGUUAUCGAGGUACGAACUUAAUUUGAUAUUGAUGAAAGUAGAUACAAAAUUCGAGUCUAUAUACAAUUUUUGGUCGUUAACAUCCAUAUGAAACAUGUUUCCAUCCAAAUUUUGUAUGUAAUGAAAGAAACUCGCCACAUUUACCCCUGUGCAAAUCCGAGAAGGUGGCACAUUAUGUUAGAUGAUCACCAUGGAAAGGGUCUUUACGGACGUAUGAUUGCUAUAUCGAGCACGCACCGAGGAUGGUCAUUAUCAUAUGCAAUCAGUGGAUGCCGAUUAUGGGGAGAGUACUAGUUAUGGAAAUGGAAAGAUAUCAUCAAAAUCUUUCCAUUUUUGGCAGUGAGGUAAGAAGAGCCACAGGGUUUGUUAGUUAACAGNNNNNNNNNNNNNNNNNNNNNNNNNNNNNNNNNNNNNNNNNNNNNNNNNNNNNNNNNNNNNNNNNNNNNNNNNNNNNNNNNNNNNNNNNNNNNNNNNAUGACUUCUAGAUUUUAUACUAUAUAAUAAUAAAUUUUCGUGUUUCAGAGUACGAGUCAAAGAAAAUCGAGUUAAAAAUUUGGUAGGUGUAGCUGACCACGAAAAAAAUAAAUCNNNNNNNNNNNNNNNNNNNNNNAAUAAAAUAAGGAGAACAAAAAAUAGGAAUCGAACCCUCCCUAAACUCUAAACCCUAACCCUAAAUCCUAAAAUCCUAAACUCUAAACUCUAAACCUAAACCCUAUAUACAUUAAUAUUAAAUUUAAUCAUUCUCUCAAGUCAUUUUCUGCAUUCCACGUGAAUUUUUGAACUCAUUGAUGUAACUCGGAUUUGAUUCCCAAUCAUAUUAAUGAUAUAUUUAUCUGUAGAAGUUUUAUCCGGAAAGAUGUAAGAAUUUCUCAUUCCAAAAUUAUUCAAUAAAAAGCAUGAACCAAAAAGCUAGCGAAAAGUUGAAACUCACAUCUUCUUGUCGCACGAGCUUCAACGAAAGAUCAUGUUCGGAACUCAUAUGAUAUGCAAUUUCAUGUUUGGAAUUUUCAAUAUAUAUAAGUACGGUCGUUUUUCAUAGUUUUCAUUUAAAUGAUCUAUCAUGUAUGACUGUUGGUAGGUUUGGCAAUUUUGACCGCGUAACCGACCAUAACCUUACCGAGUUUGACGGUUAUUAACCGUGUUGACUGGAUAUUUUGAGAUUAUGGUUAUAACCUUUAACCGCUAGGAAUCAGUAAGGUUAGGUUAUGUGUUUUUUAGUAACCGCACUAUUACUGUAACGAUAUCCAUAAUCAUCACCGAUCCGCUAUAUAACCAACAUUAAUCCGUCAUACAUGAGCCCAAUAAACCUACUAGAUAACCUAAAUGUAAAUGAAAUUUAUUAAGAAAACUGAAUCAAAUCCAUUUACUCAUUCAUUCCUAAAAAAUAUCUCAUCUUCGACUUCAACGAUAUCUCUUCGUCUUUUUGUUUUCUAUAUAACUCAAUCAUUAUUCUUGGAUAGAAAAUACCUCAUCCACCACUUUAGAGAUGAAUUAAAGUGGAUGCAUUUUGAUUUUUUAUUUUUUUAUUUAUAAUGAAAAGUGAUUAUAACCGUUAACCGCAUGUGUAUGAUGAUGAAAUUAAUUUUAUCACCGAAAUAAAAAUGGAGAUGAUUAUGGUUAAUAACCACCACAAAAGUGAAUAAAUAAUGAGAAUGUCAUAACUAUCAACGAACCUCCUCAUUGCCAAACCUAACGAUUUGAUAUCAUAUAAGGUUUGAAUUUAUGGUUGAAAGUGGAAAAAUUAUAUGUUAAAUUUUUUUUCAACUUCAAAGAUAUUUAAACUACCUAAUUACCUAAUGUUAGGCCACUGAAUCACUUUCGUCGACACUUUGCAGUCGUGCCUGUAUCAUGUUCGGUACAUGCCUUUGUACUGAUUUUUAUACACAUGACGAUAAGCCAAUCUUUUUAUGUGUACAUGAUUUUAUACUUAUUUUUUACGAAUUAUACACUCCCACUAACUUGGGCUGACCCACCUGAAAUAUUCGAUGGUAAUUACUUGGGCCCAAGCCGGAGGACGAAUUAAUAUUUCCAGGCCUCAAGUAAUGAGUGGAUUGUGGGCCGCGUGACUGCAUCUAGCGUGAACUUGUGGGUCGAAUUGUUGAUGUAGUGAUGUUAGAGGCUGCACUUGAAAUGACAAAUUAAGGUUUGAUCCCCUAUACUAACGUUGGAAGAGGAGUAAAAUUUUAGCCUCUGGAUCAUCAUCGACUGGAUUAGUCGGCAAAUGUAUCGACUGAUACGAUAUUUCAUUACUAAUUGCAAUCUUGAGCAAAUUACAUGCAAAUAUAUUGACAGAUUGGUAGUAUCACAAGGUCUCUAGCACUAAUUCGAGUCUGGGCCAAAUUUGCUCAAUCCAGAAGCUGUCCAAUAACUCAAGGGGCUGCCUUGAGUGAGUCUACGGCCUGAGAUCAGGCCUACUACCCCCACCAUGAUAGUUACUUGUACCGGUGGUCUUGAGAGUGUUCAUCUCUUCCAUCAUUUCUCGAGCUUCUCGAGCCUCGGACCAUUGACCCACCGAAGCAUGGAUACUAGACCAAAGCGCAUAAACUCCUGGUUCAUCCACCAUCGACUCGACAGCUCUCCUCCCUACAAUCUCAGCAGACUUCAAAUCACUUCUUGCUUUGCAUCCCGAAAGCAAACUUCCCAACAUGGCAGUAUCAGCCUUAUACGGCAUACCUUCCACCAAACUCUGUGCCUCAUCAACCUGACCGUUUCGACAUAGCAAAUCAACCAUACAACCAUAAUGUUCAAUCUUCGGUCUGACCAUAGUACUAAAAAUCUCGCGACCUUGUUCUAGCAAACCUCCGUGACUACAAGCGAACAACACGCUCGUGAAGCUGAAAUCGUUUGGCUUCAAUUCCAUCGACCGGAAAAGCUUGACGGCAUCUUCUGCUCUUCCAUUGAUGGCUAGUGACCUGAUCAUUACAUUCCAGCAGAACACAUCCUUGUUCCCGAUCUUUGUAAAGACAUUGAAGCUUCGAUCCACGUCUCCACACUGAGCGUACAUUUUGACUAGGGCGGUCCCCACAAUGACUUGCAGUUGUGACCAAUCUCGUAUCAGGUAGUGUACGUAUUUUCCGAACUCCAAGUUACCUAGCUUAGAACAAGCUAGAAGAACAGAUACAAAGGUGUGACCGUUAGGCAAAAACCCUGCUGACUGCAUCUGAAAGAAAAGAUCCAAUGCUUCUGCAAACUUGUUAUGGUUGAUGUAGCUUGAGAUCAUUGAGUUCCAUGAUACCACGUUCCUUAUAGGCAUUUCCUCGAACACCUGUAUCGCUGUUUCAAGCUUCCCUGAAUCGGAGUAUGCACCAAUCAUGGAAGUCCAGGAAAUGACAUUCUUUUCUGGCAUCGAGUCGAACAGUUCCCUUGCAUUGGCUACUUCUCCGAUUUUUGAAUAACCUGAAAUCAUGGAGUUCCAGGAAACAACGUCUCUCUCUGUCAUCUCAUCAAACAACUCUCUUGCUGAUCCGACAUCUCCGGAGUUUACAUACUCGGAUAUCAGCCGGUUACAAAGUUCCACUGGUCUUACAGGCAUUUCAUCGAAUACCUUCCGUGCAUUACUUAACCUCGAAUCAGAGUCCGUCAUUUUCAAGUACAUGUUGAAAAGGGAACUGGAAAUCGAAGGAUUUGAGCCAAACCCAGACUUCACGAUCUGGCAAUGGACGAUCUUGGCUCUCCUAUACAACCCCAGCUGGCAACAUGAGCUAAUCACAUACGGGUAUGUGUAGUUGUGGGGCUUUAAUCCUCUUUGAAGCAUUUCAUCGAACAGUUGCAAGGUGAUCUCAGCUGGACCAUUGAACGAGUAACCUCUGAUCAUGACGUUCCAUAGGAUUGUAUGGUCUAAGAGAUUCUCACCCAAUUGAGAGAAUAUCGUAUCCGGAUACCCCAUUGUGCCGAAUUCGGUGCUCCUUCGGAGAAACUUGGAGAAGAUCGGGAUGUUCUGGGCAAGGGUGGUUGUGAUUAGUAAGGCUUGGAUUUGUUUCAGAUGGUGAAAUGUGCAUUUUGGAAGCAGACUGGGGAUCGUCAGUUGGAAGUUUGCAGCCAUGAAUAUAGCCUACCUCUGGCCUAGGGGAAAAUCAACCAAAUUUCAGAGACCUUUCCCAGUAAACAAACAGAGUUGAGGGAGUUGACUGGGAGUGAGCUGCAUGUAUGAUUUAAGUACAUCUUUCUAAACAAGCACAUGUACCAUUGCAAGUUAACAAUAGGAGGUGCAGUCUUCACAAUGAAGUCAAAGUCUGCACGAACCAAAAAUUAUCAUGCCAAAUCGUGAGCAACCCUAUUCCCUUUUCCUUACAAAUAACUGGCAUGUAUACGUAUGAGAUCCCCAGUGUGAAACACACCAUUAGUUGCCCGUCGAAAAUCAAUAGUCCGUCUUCCUAGAUCCGACGGAAGUCGAUCUCAUAUAUAUGCAUUCGAAAAGUGAUAUAGCCACAACGAAUAUGAAAUCGACAACCUUACUACCGAAGUAAUGAGAUUAGGAAAUCAACGCUCAAACGAGCAACCCCUGAACAGUCAACCAUAAACAAUUGACUCAUAUAUGAACUCUUAUCUGACAAGUGACGAGUGAAGCCCAUUCAAACCCAUUAAAUCAUCAAAGCACUAACCACAAACCCACAAAUUUUUAUUUAAGUUGAGCAGAAAACCGAAAAGUUCAAUCAAACCUGAAGCCUGAAAAUAUCACCCAGAGUACUAGUACCAGUAAGUGUUUGUCAAUUGGUCAUAAGGUGGAUGGUGAGUUGAAGAAUAAUGGGGUGGCUAUUUAGCAAUUGCUAGGAAUAAAAUGUGCUUGUUAACUUAAAAGAAUUGUUAAAUUAGAAAUUAUACUAAUAAAAGCACAUAAACAAUUAGAUUAAUUUCGAAAGAAAAACAGUUAUCUAGCAAUGUCACAUAACAUAUAUGCAUCAGAAUAAUUUUAUAAUAAAAUGAAGAUUAAUUAUCGAAUAAAUUAAUUAUCAAAAUUAAUUGUUGAAUAAAUUAAUUACCAAGAACAAUUUCUGGUAUGGGGGAAUUAAAGAACUGAUUAAAAUGUUGAAGUAAGCAAAGCACUUAAAGCUAGAAUCAUCCUGACCUCAUAGCGAUUAUCUAUUGAAUUAAAUGGACGGCUAUGAUUUGCUAUUGACUUCCCUUCAAUUUAUUUGGUGUGAGGUCACCAUGUUUUCUAUAUAUGCAUUAUAUCACGGUUGAUAUUAAUUUCUUAUCUUUUUAUUACUUGUUGAUAUAGUUUUGAUAUGUUUUUAUCUUUUCAUAACAUCUUUGUUCUUCUCGAUUCGUCCUUGUUAUUCAGUCUUUUGGCUCAUCGAGAUUAAUAAAAGAUCAACGGCGAUAUCAUCAUUUUAUUAGGUAAGAAUAAGUUGAUGUAAAAGAGAGUAUGACGCGUAAGUAGGGAAACAAAGAAGUAUAUGAAAUUUGCCCAAAGGUGUAUGACCAGUUAUAUAUGUAUAAAAUAGUGUACGGUAUAUAAAGUUGGGGUAGAUGAUGUGUUAUAAAUUAAUGACCAUCGUGUUUUAUGUAGAGUCCUUCGUCAAGAUAUAUGGAUCCGGGUUCCAAAAAUCUCUCAUAAUUGAACCAUUAAAAUCGUAUUCGAGUGGAGUUAUUUCGGUGGCAGAGUUGUGUGUCGGGUGAGAGAUUCUGAGUUCAAAUCCAAUGCACCCCAUGAAAUGAGCACAAUUAUUUCCUUCUCUCUUAUAAUGACAUGUUAGCUCCGUUUAAACGGGCACAAUUAUUUUCUUUUUUCUUAUAAGAACAUAUUCGCUCCAUCUAUUUUUGACUAAAAAUUAUUAAAACUGUUAAAAUCACUUGAAACCUUUCAAAUAUGUUUUUUUGGUUCAUUGACUAAACUCUAUCAAAUUAUGUAGUUUGAUGGAUUGAACACUGUCAGGCAGUAACGAAACCCACGCGUUAUGGCAGUUUUGUGUGCUUGUCGACUGGUUUAGUCAAUGGACUGGCUUAUCAGUUUUGUUCAUUUUAUUAGAGGUAAUUUUCAUAGUGUAAUAUGUAUCAUUGCAAAAAAAUUAAUUAAUGUUUUUUUAAUUGUAUACAUAUUAACUCAAUCGUGUUCGUUAUACGGUGGCCAUAAUACGACAUAUGCGGUUGUGUUCCUUGCGUGUAUUUGGAAUUGCUUAUAUUAAAUUUACUAGACAUAAUAAUUAAGCUAACUAGACAUUUAUUAUCCCAAUAUAUUUUAUUAUCCCAAUAUAUAUUAUGGUUUUAUCAACCACUAAGAUUGUNNNNNNNNNNNNNNNNNNNNNNNNNNNNNNNNNNNNNNNNNNNNNNNNNNNNNNNNNNNNNNNNNNNNNACGAUAUCGGUCUCGGCAUUCCUGCUGAACCGCUCUUCCGAUCUCAUUCUUAUACAAUGUUUUUUAGGAACUAGAUGAUGAGAACCGGCAAAUAAUAUAUAUCGGUCUAACCGGUUAUAACUAUUCCAUUUAGAAUGUGAAAAAAUAGACGGACCGUAUAAAAAAGAUUUUAACUAAUGUAUUCGCAAAAGAGGUCUCAUUGAAGAAUUUAACAAACCCCUUUACAAUGAAUUUGAGUGAAUCACUAAAACUAUUGUUUUUCAAUCUCUCGUUGUUAAUCAAGUUGAGCUGCUUUGGUGGUAUAGUUUUGUGCUGGCGACUUGAAGGUAUCAAAUUCAAAUUUCACGUAUCCCACGAAUAAACACCAAUGUAAUGUUUAGUUCCUUUCUAUCUAGUGUAACCGAGAGGUCUACUCCAACAAAAAAAAUCUUCCGAAUCUAAAAGAUUGCAAGAGUAUAUAUACUCAUAUGACCUAUCUUUUUAUUUUCCUAAAGACAUAUGACCUAUCUAAGAACCUAAGAUUGUUAUUCAUUUAUUAAAGGAGACCGUGAGCUGUUGGACAAUUAUCAAUUUAAUUGACUCGAAACAUAUUUCCAUAUGUGCGUAUAUUGUUUAGCUGUCCUUUUUCAAAACUAAUUUCCACUUAAAAUUAAGUGCCACCUUUGUUUAGUUUUUUUUAUGUAAUCAAAAUAAUUAAAAGGCAAAAAACUUUGAAAUGUUACGAAAUUUGGGCAUAUGAGAAAUGUCACCAUGGUUUCAAUAUAGAUUUUUUAUUACGAGGUAUUGAGUUUUUUGCCAUAAAUGUCACGCCGUUAAUUCCCGUUGGUUUCGGUUUCACGUGGACAUAACGGUGUGAAGUAAGUCAGCAUUGGCAUCAAUUCUAAAUCCACAUGGGUUUUUCCUUUUUCUUUGCGGAAUUAAAAUGAAAUUGACGUGGGUGUUUUUCAAAAUUUGUCAAAAUAUAUAAACCCGAAAACCCUAAUAUUCCAUUAUUCUCUUAUUCCCUCCAGUUUAAUCACCGUCACCGUCUUCCUUUGUUCUUCCUCUUCAUCUCUUUCACGAUCGUCAUUUGAUGUGAUCAACUAACAGUGGAGUAGGUGAUCGGAUCGACCUCUAUCAGGUGUUCGCACGAUAUGGAGGCCGUACUCAAGACGGCGACUAUCGCCAAGAACCGCGGUCGACAUUUUCCCGAUGUCCAUUCUGGAGGACUUCCGACUGCGGGUUCUUCGCAUGGGAGUCCGAUUGUUCCCGUGAUGAUGAUGUUUCUCGCCCAGGCGUUUUAAGGAGGCGUGAAGAACCCCCCUCGAGCCUACAGAUUGAUCUAGUGCUGCAAGAGAUUAGGGGUGUUAGGAACAAGAUUGAAGGGUUUGAUAACAAAAUGACUUUUGUGCUUGGCAGUAUGUGGGUAGUUGUUCUGUUGGUAGCCAUUAGUUGCACAAUUCGAUAAUCGAACUGCAAUGUACUUGUAUGAGUUGGGGUGUUUUCUAAUGUAAUUGAAAUGACAUUUCUUUUAUAUAAUCUGCAAUGCUUGUCCUUGAUUUUUUAUUACACAUUCAUCUCAAUAAAGAAAGUAUGCAACAACAAAUGAGAAUUGAAGCAAACAACUACAUAAUCAUAUCAUAGAACCAAAAAUGGGGAACACCAGUUACGUGUUAACAUAAACACCUUGUCCAAAGCCAACUGGGAUCUAGGAACAAACCAUCCUGAUCAUACAACCUUGUCCAAAACAACGUGGGUUACAGAAAUAUAUAAUCCAUUACAUGUUACCCUAAUUGUAGGGAGCAGUUCCGGUUGUCAGGUUAAUAUAAGCGUUGCGUCUCUGCGGCAAGGCCAUAUAACUACUCCUUCUUGCAGCGGUUCUAGAGCCUGGAUGGAUUCGAUUCUACAACAAUAGGAAACAAUAUUAACAUACACAACAACAACAAGAAGAUUGUACAUUAAUAGGAGCCGAUUUUAUUUGAGGCAUGAGAGUUGGUAGACACCAACGAGCGUUGUGUCCAAUGACCCCACACUUCCCACAGGUCACCAUGCGCUUGAAUGGCCUGCUCCAAACCUCUGGUGAUCGCUCCCUGGUCCUCCUCUGAUGCCUUGCUCAAGCUUCUUGGUUAGUUUCUCCUCCAACAGCUUCUCCAGCAAGUAUACGCCCUCCAUCUGGUUCACCAUCUUCACCACUAUUUGAAAUGUUCCUUGCAUUAUGACCUCGAUUGCAACAUUUCCCACAGUGGUUCCGAAUCCCUCUUCUCCCCAAUACUGUACCAACACCACUCUUAGCUGGCCUAACUUCAAGUUCCUGUUUCUCCUUACGCCAUACCUUCUUUGGCCUAUCUGGUAAGAUCCUUGAAGUUGAAGGGUGGAUUAUCAUACCUUAAGUAGUUUCCCGAGCUUGUUUUUCAGGUAGAGCUGGUAUUCCACCAAAGCUAUAUGCCUUCUUCGCAUAAGCCACUGUGUAGUGCUAAGUGGUGUAGGUGUAUACAUUCUUAUGCAAAGUUGAGCAAGUUGCUAUUGUGUGCACACAAGGGAUACCAGAUACAUCCCAGUAACCACAAAUACAUGUCUGUUUCCGACGGUAAAAAACAUCUCCAUAGUCAUUGAGUUCACAUUCAGCAACAAGGACUACCACACUAUGCAAUGCCUAGCUACCAGCUUUCCCUUUUCAAGUUUAGCAGCUAUUCUAGGACAGAUGAUUCUUUCCUUUGUUGUUUCAAACAGUUUGACCCUAUCCACUAGACGCUUCAUCAUAUAAGUACGGAUUCCUUCUAGCAUAUUGAUAAUUCUAAGUCUUCUCCACUUCACUAUGCAUCCGUUAAAUGUUUCACGAAUGUUGAACUCUAUGGAAUCACUUUUGGGAACUCUUAACACAAACGCACGAGAAAAUGUCUUUGGAUUCACAUUAACAAAAUCAGCUUUAUUGCAUGCGUACACACAAUUCCAGAAGGCUUUUCUGCUAGCUUGAGAUUUGUGCUUGAUUUUCCAGUUUGCAGACACAUGUUUGGCACAUUUUUUAUGCUCAGUAAGUGAUAAUAAGAUUUACAGACUCUCAACAAGUCCCUGCAUAAAUAAUAAAAUAGCAAUAUCAAGAUGCAUAACAGAAAAGAAACAAUAUUGUUAAUUGAUUAGUCACAAAGGUCACAUACCUCCGGCUGGUCUGAGAUCACAAACCAACCCGUCCCAUCAAACAAACCAAAACCUCAAUUAGAAGUGAGAUGAACCUAGUCCGAGAAAGGGUAUUCUCACUCUCCACAACUGCCCAUGCGACAGGGAACGUGUGAUUGUUCCCAUCCUUGCCUAUGGCAGUCAAGAUCAUUCCCUUUACCUCUCCCUUAAGAAAACAACCAUCAAGCCUAAUCAUCCUUCUAUAACCAAAUAGAAAUUCCUUGCAGAGACAGCUAAAUCCGAUGUACACUCUCUGGUACAUCACAUAAUCCUUACCAGCAACGGGUUCAACCUCUAUAAUAAAGUUUCCCUCCUUACCAGAUUUCAUCAGUCGCAACACAUAUGACUUUAAUAGUGCAUACAAAGCCUGUAAGGCACCUUCUAUCAUUUUCUUUGCUUCUUUCCUGGCAUUGGUGCAAACCCUCACACUCACCUCAAUUCUAUGUGUGGCCUUCACUUCAGCAUAUAACCUUGUGGAAUCCAUAUAACGGUUCAGUUUGAAGUUGGUUAAGUAUUAUUUUGCUACCCACUUCGUUGUAGCAUUCCUGACAUGCAUUGUUUGAGGACAGGAAUGUGGUUCCCCCACUCCUUUAAUUACAAAUCCUUCAUUACGCCCGAACCAACUAGCAUAACAACACCACUUACAACCCUCAACUGAACAGACUGCCUCUUUACUAAACGAAUUGCUUCUUUUCCAUUUGAUACUGGCAUCCACGGAUAUACUGUAAUUGGCAAUUGCUUCUUUGAACUGAUUUUCAUUGGCGAAUCUCAUCUUCUCUUGAAGAACCAACUUGUUGUGGUCACAUCCUGGGUCAUGAUAGACCUCUUCCUCCAGUGGGCAUACUUCUCCGCCUUCAAUUUUAUCAUCGCAAUCGUCAUCCAAUUCCGAAUAUUCCCUGUAAAUUGAUUCUAGAGCAGUAUCUGGAGCCUGGUCGGUCUGGUCUUCUGAUUCAUCAUCAACAUCAGACUCAUCAGUGUUCGCAACGAAGUUGGUACCACCAGCUUCAUCUUCAACCUCAGGCAUCACAUUUUUAAAUGGGUUUGGAUCUGUUUGUGCUUUCUUUGCAGUCUCCUUUGCAGCCUUGGCUGAUUCCCUAGCUAACUUGGUAUGCCACCCAAACUCAACCUCUUCCUCUCCAUCAGAAUCAUAAUUAGCCCGAGGUCUUCUCCUCUCUCCAGUAUGCCAAUAUUCUCCAUUGCAAUAUAGAACUCUGGAUCUGAAGUUCUAUCUGAGUCGUCGAUCAAGUGAAUGAUCCCCUCACAAGCAGGAUCACUUGGUAUGUCAUUGUCACCCAUUCCUUCCAGGUUAGUUGUGCCUUCCAUGUAGAUGUUAAUAACCCCUCUAUUCGAAGCUUCACCCAUAAUUAAGACCUCUGCAUCUCCCACGAUAAGGUUUAUCCCAUCAGCUAUAGUAGAUCCGGGAGUGACGUACCACAUCUUAUCCACAGAUGUGUAACCUAGCUCUCAUGUGCCAAUGGUGACCAAGUCAAUGUAACUGAGUAAGUCCCUGUCGAUAUGAGUGUCAGUAACAGACCCUCCUUCAUAUUAAGCUCCAUCCGACGACAGAACCAUUCGACCUCCAUGGUGAAUCACAAACUCUACAAUGCCUUUCAUCCUCUAUGGCCAUGAAAGUAUCCUUAAAUACUCAAUAUUUUAACUCUACCAACUGGAAUUAAUAAUACUGAAUAUGGAUUCACAUGGGUAAAGUUAAAGCAAUCUAGGACCACAACAACCCAAAAAUGGAAUAGUAUAUUAGUUUUGUCGUCUCGUCCUUUUCGGAAAAGCUACAAGAUUCCUUAACGCUAAACCCAACUACCUUAUCUGCUCCCGAAGACCCCACCACCGUUAAUGGAUCCACCAAACAAGAUUCGUCCUUCAAAAUCACAAACCGUAGCAAUCUUAACACCGGUCGCCGACGAAUAUCGCCGAUUAGCUCUGAACCAGUACCGUCGCCAAUAGUAGAUUUUCAAGCGGGUACCAGAAAGCUCGAUCCAGUUUAUGCCUACCUAUGGUCGUCGAUUACCUAUGUGUGGUCAUCGGUAUUUAAAAUCGGAAACUGGAUAGUCGCAGUCCCAGAGGCGCGAAGUCUGUUGUGUGGAAGACAACCUCUAUCCAACCUUAUUCUAACUUCAGCAGCCUAGAUCUUUUUGAAUGGAUGGACAAGAUUUGGCUUCAUUAUAUCCACGUGGCAAUUCAAUCCGUAAUAUGUGGAAAAUAGGAAAUUACACGUCACUGGUCAACGCUGACUUGGAAGUGUUUUACCAAACUCGAUUAACGCUAUCCAGCGGGAAUUAACGGCGUGGCAUUUAUGGCGAAAAACUCAAUACCUCUUGACAAAAAAUAUAUAUCAAAACCAUGAGGACAUUUCUCGACAUAUGUCCAAAUUUCAUGACAUUUCAAAAUUUUUUGCCUAAUUAAAAUCCACAAGUAGGAAGUGUAGUAGGAAAAAAUAAACUUAUAUUCAACUCUCUCUUAACAAUUUUUUUGGUAUAUUUAACAAAAAGAUUUGGUACAUACCAGUUGUAAAUUGUAAUAUUAAUCAUUGUCAUUAAUAAUUAAAUCAGAGUAGAUACUCUAUAAAUUAGUAGAGUUGGCUAUCAUUGUUGAGUCCAUCAAACCCAUAAGAGUACUGAUAGAUUAGUUCUCUCUAUCUCCAAAUUUUGCAAAAUGAAAGGAUGCAAAGAUCAGAAAGCAAAGCCAAAGCUCCGGAGAGGAUUGUGGUCUCCGGAAGAAGAUGAUCGCCUCCGGAGCUAUAUCGUCAGGAACGGCCACGGCUGCCUGGCCACCGCUCCCAUCAAAGGCGGCAAAAUUAUUUUGGUCCCUCCUUUUAUUUUUAUUUCACACAUCAGGAACGGCCACGGCUGCUGGACCACCGUUCCCAUCAAUGCCGGUAAACUAGUUCGCGUCACUAAUUUAAUUCUAAUUACAACCUUAAUUUCCUACUCUAAUUAAUCUUGGUAAGAAAAGUAGCAAAAGAAUUCAGUUAAUUUGUCGGAUGACGUGGCUGAUUAGCUGUCACGUUCGGAAAUAUCUUGUCUUGUUUUAAUUACUAUUAAUUAAGUAUACAUGCAGGCCUCCAAAGGAAUGGAAAGAGUUGCAGGCUAAGGUGGAUUAAUUAUUUACGGCCAGGAUUAAAGCGCGGUUUGUUUUCCGCUCACGAAGAGGAUACAAUCCUGACCCUUCAUCGCCUCCUCGGCAACAAGUGGUCGCAAAUUGCGAGUCAUUUGUCAGGAAGGACAGACAACGAAAUUAAAAAUUACUGGCACUCGUAUCUCAAAAGAAAGAUUCUCAAACCUCAGCAAUGUGCUAGCUCAUCCUCUCUAGUCGAAUCCUCCUCUGCCCUCUCAUGUGACCGGCCAGAGGAGUCCCUACCGUCGAUUUCCAACGUUUUCGCCUAUCAAUCCUAUAACAACAACUUUACUAUUGGCCUAGACAACGCUUCUUCGCGCCCUUUGUUGCCGCCGAACCUCAUGUUUUCCGAGUGGCUAUCGAUGGACUGCUCAGAAAGCACCACAUCAGCUGCGGAAGUGUUGUUUCCUAAAGAAGGGUUCGCGUGCGGAAGUGACGAGUUCAGCAUUGACAUCGUCCCGAGUAGCGAGUUUGUAGGCGAACAUUUAUUUCAGGGGUAUGAUCGGAACUCAACGACUAUGAGCGAUGG
rnacentral:lncRNA from 1 species